rnacentral:rRNA from 1 species
GUAGGGAAUCUUCGGCAAUGGACGAAAGUCUGACCGAGCAACGCCGCGUGAGUGAAGAAGGUUUUCGGAUCGUAAAACUCUGUUGUUAAGGAAGAACAAGUACGAGAGUAACUGCUCGUACCUUGACGGUACUUAACCAGAAAGCCACGGCUAACUACGUGCCAGCAGCCGCGGUAAUACGUAGGUGGCAAGCGUUGUCCGGAAUUAUUGGGCGUAAAGCGCGCGCAGGCGGUUCCUUAAGUCUGAUGUGAAAGCCCACGGCUCAACCGUGGAGGGUCAUUGGAAACUGGGGAACUUGAGUGCAGAAGAGGAGAGUGGAAUUCCACGUGUAGCGGUGAAAUGCGUAGAGAUGUGGAGGAACACCAGUGGCGAAGGCGACUCUCUGGUCUGUAACUGACGCUGAGGCGCGAAAGCGUGGGGAGCGAACAGGAUUAGAUACCCUGGUAGUCCACGCCGUAAACGAUGAGUGCUAAGUGUUAGAGGGUUUCCGCCCUUUAGUGCUGCAGCAAACGCAUUAAGCACUCCGCCUGGGGAGUACGGUCGCAAGAC